GCCAAUAAUAUCCUUGCUAAAGGAUCUUGUAGGAUCGUGACUUACCCUCCAAGUGGUUGCUGUAAAUGCUCUCAUGUACCUUCCGAAGAUCAUAGUCGGUAAGUGUCUGAGCCUUCAUCGAAGAUCGAGGAAUAUAAGAAAGAUCGAACUCACUAAGUUCGACCGUUCAUUUGGCCAUUCUCCUCAAAGUAUCAGGCCAUUGAAGAAGAGUUCUCAGGGGG
rnacentral:lncRNA from 1 species